ensembl:misc_RNA
UCGCUUUCAGUGCAGACUAAGGUCUCUUGUUCACAAAUUAAACAGUACUUUUGGUGUACAUUUUUCUCUUCAUUUCUUCAUCUCCAAAUGUGCUUUAGUCCUAACCUAGAGGGACCACCUGUGAGCGAGAGGGUAGUUUAGUCUCCAUGCUUAUUCACUCCUUGGUCUCU